GAUGAACGCUGGCGGCGCGCUUAACACAUGCAAGUCGAGCGAGAAGUUUUGAAAAGAUUCUUCGGAUGAAAUUUAAAAUGGAAAGCGGCGGACGGGUGAGUAACGCGUAGGCAACCUGCCCCAUACAAAGGGAUAGCAUUUGGAAACGAAUAUUAAUACCUUAUGAAACUUAACUAGUGCAUGCUAGGUAGGUCAAAGUUUUAUCGGUAUGGGAUGGGCCUGCGUCUGAUUAGCUAGUUGGUGAGGUAACGGCUCACCAAGGCGACGAUCAGUAGCCGACCUGAGAGGGUGAACGGCCACAUUGGAACUGAGACACGGUCCAAACUCCUACGGGAGGCAGCAGUGGGGAAUAUUGCACAAUGGGGGAAACCCUGAUGCAGCAACGCCGCGUGAACGAUGAAGGCCUUUGGGUCGUAAAGUUCUGUUCUAGGUGAUGAAAACUGACAGUAACCUAGGAGAAAGCCCCGGCUAACUCCGUG
rnacentral:rRNA from 1 species